GUGAGCACGUCUGGGCCUGGCACCCUUUGAUCCCCCUUGAAACUGUGUCCCGUCUUGCAGAAGUGCAAUGGGGGUAACAUCUGCAUCAGAUGAUGUCUCAAUGCAGAGGUUCCCAGGUGGUGCUGUUGGUAAAGAAUCUGCCUGCCAAUGCAGGAGACACCAAAGAUGCAGUUUCGAUCCCUGGGUCAGGAAGAUCCCCUGGGAUAGGAAAUGGCAACCCAUUCCAGUAUUAUUGCCUAGAAAAUUCUUGCCUGAAAAUACAGUUCACUGGGUUGCAAAGAGUUGGACGCGACUGAGCAUGCAAUGCCAAGGCAAUCCAGCUUGGCUAUAGAGGAAACAGCAGGAAGUCAGAGCUGAAAAUGGCCUUGAGAACCACCUCCUCCAGCUUUCUUAUCUAAAAGGUUCUGGGGGUUUCAAGGUGGUCAAGAUACACUUUGUUGAGAAGGAGUUCACUGUUUAAUGAAAGAGAUAGAGCAUCAGUGCCAUGGUGGAAGGCAGCCAGAGCACUGUGGAAGACAGAGAAAGGCAACCAUUUCAGUCUGGAGAGCUUCCUGGAGGAAGCAGAUUCUAAGCUAAGUAUGGAAAGACAUAUAGGAAUUUGCUGAGAGAAAGGGAAGGAGAAGAGGGAAGAACUUUGUAGAUGUAUCCCAAGGAGAGAGAAUAGCAUGUGGAUGGGAAACCACGUUUACUGCAUAUUUUCAGAGAUGUUUGUAAUUCACAUUUCACAAAUAAUUAAAAAAAGACCUCAGGGAGGUUAAAUGAUUUA
ensembl:lncRNA